rnacentral:rRNA from 1 species
UACGUAGGGUGCAAGCGUUGUCCGGAAUUAUUGGGCGUAAAGAGCUCGUAGGCGGUCUGUCGCGUCCGUUGUGAAAAACUCGAGGCUCAACCUCGGGCUUGCAGUGGAUACGGGGCAGACUGGAGGUAUGCAGGGGGAGAACGGAAUUCCUGGUGUAGCGGUGAAAAUGCGCAGAUAUCAGGAGGAACACCGGUGGCGAAGGCGGUUCUCUGGGCAUGUCCUGACGUGAGGAGCGAAAGUGUGGGGAGCGAACAGG